GAUGAAGAACGUAGCGAAAUGCGAUAAGUAAUGCGAAUUGCAGAAUUCCGUGAGUCAUCGAAUCUUUGAACGCACAUUGCACCCUCUGGUAUUCCGGAGGGCAUGCCUGUCUGAGCGUCAUUGUCAACCCUCAAGCUCAGCUUGCUGUUGGGUCCCCGUCGUUGCUUUAACGGCGGACCCGAAAGGUAAUGGCAGAGUCCGUGAGACCCUAGACGCAGCGAGCUUCUAGCACGCGUCUGGACGUUUUUCGGGCUCGGUCUUAACUAGAUGAUAACUUCCGAUUGACCUCAGAUCAGGUAGGGAUACCCGCUGAACUUAAGCAUAUCAAUAAGCGGAGGA
rnacentral:misc_RNA from 1 species